rnacentral:snoRNA from 1 species
AUGUCUGUGAUGAUAUCGUAUACAAAUAACCAUCUUUCGGGACAGAGGCUUUCCAAGCCAUGUUGAUACUUUACAUAUCUGAGGCAU